UACGAGGGGUGCAAGCGUUGCUCGGAAUUAUUGGGCGUAAAGGGUAGGUAGGUGGUCUCAUUUGUCUAGGGUGAAAGCCUUGAGCUUAACUCAAGAAGUGCCCUAGAAACGGUGAGACUGGAGUCUUGGAGAGGGUCGUGGAAUUCCCGGUGUAGCGGUGAAAUGCGCAGAUAUCGGGAGGAACACCGGUGGCGAAGGCGGUUCUCUGGGCCUUACCUGACGCUGAGGAGCGAAAGCGUGGGGAGCGAACAGG
rnacentral:rRNA from 1 species